GGGGACGAAGUCUAUGAUUUUUUAUUUUAAAUCAACAAUGUUAAAAAGAGAAACGGAAAUACCGUAACGUUUCCGAUUUUGGUUCUGUUGUUAGGGAUUUUGGUUGUGACGUUAUUUAAGUUAUGACGUCAUAUUCAAUGUAAACAAAGAAACGCUGUCAUCAGGUAACGUUUUUUUAAUAACAAACAUUUUUUUUUUUAAUGAAUUAGUAUUAGUUCCUUUCUUAGACUGAUAAAUAUACAUUUUAUUCAAAGUCUCAUGUAAACAAGACCGGAAACGGAAGUAGAUUUCUGCGCAGAUCCGGAAAUUCAAAAACGCGACAAAAAAAAAAUUGAACGAUUUUGAGUUCAUUAGAAAUUCGGGAAUUUUUCCCAAUUUUUUUUUUUUUUUUUUUUUUUUUUUAUUGAAUUUUCUACUGUAAUAGGGGACUUCGUCCCCAUAAUAUGAGGCAGGCAUUACCUGUAAAUGGGGACGAAGUCUGUAUGAAUUAUUUUUUUGUAACUUAAAUAUUUGUUAAAAAAAUAAAACGGAAAUACCGUAACGUUUCCGAUUUUGGUUCUGUUGUUAGGGAUUUUAG
rnacentral:lncRNA from 1 species